rnacentral:rRNA from 1 species
UGGGGAAUAUUGGACAAUGGGCGCAAGCCUGAUCCAGCCAUGCCGCGUGUGUGAAGAAGGCCUUCGGGUUGUAAAGCACUUUUGUCCGGAAAGAAAUCCUGUCGGUUAAUACCUGGCGGGGAUGACGGUACCGGAAGAAUAAGCACCGGCUAACUUCGUG